GGUUUAAUAGGGGGGUUUUACACCAUACCAUGCAAGUUAAAGGGAGGGGCUUUAAAGCCCCCCAUAUAACGUGGCGCUGACGUGAUCUGACGUGGCAUGAUAAAGCCCCCAGGGGCUUUAUACCACACCCUCCAGCCUAACCACUACACAUGGUCUAACAUCUCUUAUUCUCUCAAAAUACAUGAAGCUUAAAGAAGUCAAAAGGACAGCUUUCGAAAUUUGUUUUCUGGUUGUUGUCUGAAGAACAAGUGAACAUACCAAAAUGGAGGUGUCACAAACCCUGACCUGAAUACUUACUGUUACAUCCGUUUGUGCUAUGUAAAAUAUAUAGUAAUUCGUUACAGCUUACAAGUACCCAAAUGGGGUUUGUAGGGAAGAACAGAUACCUUCCUAUAAAGUGAAAACCCGACUCUAUUACGGGAAAGAGGGUAUUUAGUACUUGUUCAAACGGUGGGAAUAAUUAUCGUCUUUCACGAUUACCUAAAGAAAUCUUUGAACUUGAUCACAAAGAAAGCUUUUUAUUAUUCGUUUAUCAUCAUAAUCAUGAACUAAGUGAAGACGGACAUAAGGUGACGAUGUGAAGAACCGCCUGACAUCUUUAGUAUGUUACCGAUCCAGAUUAAUGUAAUUUAGUUAAAACUAUUAUCAGCCUUUUGUGUGUGUGAUCACCCAACCUAACAAUCAAUAUUAGCCAUCCAAUUUCAAAAACCCUUUCUGUAAAAGGCAAACCGAUAAACCCCCAGUGUACCAUGAACCCCUUCCAUAACCGAUUCGAAUCAAACCCGAUACUAAUCAACAAAAAAUGUCUACAAGUUCAUGCUUUAAUUCAAAACUACAGACCCUAUAAACUGUACUGAAUGAACCUUCAUUGAUAUCAAUCAAUAAGGGCAAAUAAAAAGCUUUAUUCUGGUUCUGAUAUGAUAUACCCACUUUUAAUUCGAUCUUUACAAGUUGUAUCAGUUUAAAGAAAAUACAAUUUAUAAGUAUACCUCUUGAAGGGGCACAUCAAGAACAAUAAAGAUUCAGCCCAAAUGUGGUCUGUUGAUCCCCAGAUGCGACGUCGUUUCCAAGAUCCCAAAAGCUUUGAUGGAUCG
rnacentral:lncRNA from 1 species